UCCAUAUCACAUUGAAACACCAAUUCUCAUGCAACCACUGAAGUUAAGCAAUUUUGAGCCUGGUCAGUACCUAAAUAGGUGACCACAUGGGAAUACCAGGUGUUGUAAG